CCCUCACCACAACCCUAAGAGCACACUGCACAGUCACACCUUGUGUGUGUAAGAAGGAAAAGGAUCACAUGUCUCCCCAGUGAACCACAGGGUAAAUGAACCAGUGACCCUGAGAAAUAAACAAUCUGCCUGGUUCUUUCAUCUCUGCAAAGGAAGUUUCUUUCUGUUCACUACUUGACUAGCUGGAAUUCCACCCAGGAAGACACAGCAUUCCUAUCCUCCAGAGGAUUUGGCUCUCAAGAUGCCAUCUUGGAAGCAGAAAGCAG